AUCCAGAUGAAGAGUCCGAGAUAGGACGAAAUGUACGUCCUCGAU
rnacentral:hammerhead_ribozyme from 1 species